rnacentral:rRNA from 1 species
UAGGGAAUCUUCCGCAAUGGACGCCAGUCUGACGGAGCCACGCCGCGUGAGUGAAGAAGGUUUUCGGAUCGUAAAACUCUGUUGUAAGAGAAGAACAAAUUGUAGAGUACCUGCUACAGUCUUGACGGUAUCUUACCAGAAAGCCACGGCUAACUACGUGCCAGCAGCCGCGGUAAUACGUAGGUGGCAAGCGUUGUCCGGAUUUAUUGGGCGUAAAGGGGGCGCAGGCUGCUUCUUAAGUCUGAUGUGAAAGCCCACGGCUUAACCGUGGAAGUGCAUUGGAAACUGGGAAGCUUGAGUACAGAAGAGGAAAGUGGAACUCCAUGUGUAGCGGUGGAAUGCGUAGAUAUAUGGAAGAACACCAGUGGCGAAAGCGACUUUCUGGUCUGUCACUGACGCUGAGGCCCGAAAGCGUGGGUAGCAAACAGG